GACGAACGCUGGCGGCGUGCUUAACACAUGCAAGUCGAACGGAAAGGCCCUGCUUUUGUGGGGUGCUCGAGUGGCGAACGGGUGAGUAACACGUGAGUAACCUGCCCUUGACUUUGGGAUAACUUCAGGAAACUGGGGCUAAUACCGGAUAGGAGCUCCUGCUGCAUGGUGGGGGUUGGAAAGUUUCGGCGGUUGGGGAUGGACUCGCGGCUUAUCAGCUUGUUGGUGGUGUAGUGGCUUACCAAGGCUUUGACGGUUAGACGGCCUGAGAGGGUGACCGGCAGUAUCGGACUUCUGAUGCAACACAGCACUGUAAAGGUAGCAGCAGUAGGCAACAUUGAAGAAUGGCCGCGUAGCUGUGGAAGUAAGACGGCGUGAGGAAUGACCGCCUGCGGGUUGGAAACCGCUUUCGCCGGUGAGGAAGCGUGGGGGGCGGUGAUGGGUAAUGAAGCACGCGCUAACUACGUG
rnacentral:rRNA from 1 species